GGCAGAAAGCCUCGGGCGGGCCCAACGCCUUAAAGGGACGGCUUGCGGAGCGCUUUCCUCUGCAGAGCGGUAACCUCUGCGUGGGCGGGCGUCGGUCCCUGUCGCGCACUUUCUAAAAACGGAAGUCUGUGACACCUCGGGGAAGUGCCGGUGCGCCCCUCGAGAGCUCCCCGCCCCGCUCGGCCUGCGGCGGCGCCCCAGGGAGCAGCCGGGCUCGCCCCUGGGAGUCGACGGGCGGCAGGUCCCUGGCGCUCCUGGUGGGACCCUCGCUCCGGGGCCGCCGCUCCCCUUCCCCGGGCGCACGCAGCUGCCGGCGGCGGUCCGCGCGGGCUCGACCCCCACGCAGGCCUGGCACCUCGGCCGGCCCGGACCCGGGGCGCGCCCCUCCCGGAAGCGGGGACCCUGAGCCGCAGGCUUGUGCGGCCCCCGCAGGGCUGGCUGCCCCCCCCCGCAGGGCCACUCCCCCUCACGUAGGGCCGACUCCCCCCCACGCGGGGCCGGCUGCCCACCCCCGCCCGACUGUCCCCCUCCCCCCCGCAGAGAGCCUGGUCUGGGACCGGCCGCUCUGCGGUCACCCAGGCGGGUCGCCGACGUGUGUCCCCGCCAGUCCAGGGCAAGACGGGACCCCGAAGGCGCCCCAGGAGCCCCGCGCACGGAAGGACGCCCUCGACGGGCAAUGCCCAGGGAGCAGGGCGCGUGGUUGUCCCGGACACGGGAGCUGAGGGCAGCCCAAGGAGGAUGCCGGGCCCGCUCUCUGGCCCUGGCCCAGCUCCGUGUGGAUCUCCGUGCCUCGGAGCCUCGCCACCCCGGGCCGCCGAUCUUACGGCGGUUAACGAAACCAGCCUGGGGUGAAGGACACGUCCCUCUACCUGGCCACCUGGGCCAGCAUCGGAGCCCACCGUGUCUCCCCUCCAUCAACUCCGGGGGGCUCAGCCAUCCAUUUCUCUCCAUCCUGGCCCCAGGUUUUGUCUCCCAAGGGGUCUUUUCCAAACCUUCCGGAAGCUCAGUCAGAAUAAAACCCCCAGUGCUGGAUCUGUCACCUCCCCCGCCCCAUAGAAGACUCAGAGCCAGCUCCCAUUGCUCUCAAGUCCAAAUCCAGCGUCUGCUGGCGGAGUUUACCAGACUCCCCCCUCUAGCCUAGCAACACCCCCGAUGUGCGCACCCCAGAUCGCGGCCCCAAAUCAAAAAUACCUCCAACCCUCCAGGCAGAGCUGGAUAAGGUUUGGUACCCAGAACUCAGAACUCAGACCCGGUUCUAAGACCCGGGAGUAAACUGGUCUCCCUCCUCUCUCCCCAGGAGACAUCCUUCCUGUGAAAAUGAGGAAGCCCCGUUAAGUGCUGUUGCAACCCAUCCUGGCGGCCAUACCUAAAACACAACCCAAGAACACAGCAGAUAAAGCAAUGUAGCAAAAGCAGGUGAUUUGCUUUAUUGGCGAAGUCUUAAAUCCUUUUAUAUCCCUUCUGAGAUGUGGUCAGCUCAGAAAAAUCGCAGUUAGAAAUGGAAGAGAGGAUGAAAACUACGGAGAGGGGGAGAACGUUUUGGAGAACGUUUUUUCCAGAACAUUAACUGUGCUUUGGCCAACAGGAGCUAGUUGGUAAAUGAACCUGUUUCCAUGAGCAGUUUUUAUAAAGACAAUGUUUCUCAA